AACCUAUGGUGAGGGCACCUUCUCAAUAAAUCCUUAUACCUCUCUCAUGCAUCAUAUAGAGUCUCUAGAUCUAUUUGCAUGAAGGAAGAGAUACCAUUCCUCAGCUU
rfam:Gossypium arboreum cultivar AKA8401 contig_61617_1, whole genome shotgun sequence.